AGCACAAGUACAGCUAAGAGGCCAAGGGCAGGCUUUUGAGCCAAAGCCAAGCAUCUAAAGCCUGGCCAGCAGCUUAAGAGUGGGCUGGAGCCACAAUGACGCAUAAUAAGCAUACUCCCUAGUGCAUUUUGCUGUCAGAUGCUCUCCUGCUUGUGCGCGCGUGCGCAUACAUGCGCACAUGCACGCUAGCUCGCUCUCUCUCAUUUACCUUAAAGAGAGAUGGAAAAGAAGAGAACCUGCAGGAAGCAGAAAUAAGGCAGUAAACAGAAGCCCGAGACUCCGAGGCAAUAGAGACUGUUUUCAGCGGCAGCAAAGAGUCUGCAGGUUGGAGACCAUCUGGAGGACAUGCCUAUCAGAACUAAGACGGGAAAGAUGAGUAGAAAUUGAUCAGGCCAGUGAAGAGGGUGGACACCUGCCUCCCAGCCAAGCAUUCUACCCCGUGUGUGAGCGAGGGAAUGAAAGCAGGUGAGGCCAGAGACGUUUUCAGUUAACUAUGGACGAUUGCUAGAAUCAACAAUUUUGACCUACAACAAUGGCCAUUUCAUAUGAUUCUCCCUAUCAACAGGGUUCAGUUACAGACAACUUUGUGUUAAUUCCAGGUCGGAGAAUUUUGCACUUUAUCUUCCUUGGGAUGGAAAAGUAAUGAAGAAUUGUGACGAGGUGAGUUUCUCGCUCAAAUUUUUUUUUUUUUUAUUUUACUUUUCAGGGCCGAACCUGUGGCACAGCCUAUGCCACAACCACAGCAAUGUGAGAUCGGAGCCACAUCUGCAACCUACACCACAGCUCAUGGCAAUGCUGGAUCCUUAACCCACUGAGCAAGACCAGGGAUUGAACCCACAUCCUCAUGGAUACUAAUCGGAUUCGUUACCCCUGAGCCAUGACGGAACUCCAAGAUCCAGUGUUUACUUUACAUGCUUUUUGAGAGAUGCCUUUAAAAAAAAAUCUUAACAUUAUAAAUCAACCACACUUUAAUUAAAAGAAUAAAAAUAAUCUUACUUGGACGUCUAAAAUAUGA
rnacentral:lncRNA from 1 species